rnacentral:rRNA from 1 species
UACAGAGGUCUCAAGCGUUGUUCGGAUUCAUUGGGCGUAAAGGGUGCGUAGGCGGCAAGGCAAGUCAGGUGUGAAAUCCCGGAGCUCAACUCCGGAACUGCACUUGAUACUGCCCUGCUAGAGUACUGGAGAGGAGACUGGAAUUUACGGUGUAGCAGUGAAAUGCGUAGAUAUCGUAAGGAAGACCAGUGGCGAAGGCGAGUCUCUGGACAGUUACUGACGCUGAGGCACGAAGGCCAGGGGAGCAAACGGGGAUUAGAGUACCCC